ensembl:lncRNA
CACACAUUGUGCAUAGACAAAGAGCAGCAACUGUGGUCUACAGUACAGGGACAGCAGACAAAAGAACAAAACAUAACGCAUGUCAGGUUAGCGCUCUGUGUCUUGGGUGACCCAACGUGGGGCCAGGGACCCAUAUCCCUUUACUAGAAGACGCCCCCUGCUCCAGGCACAGCUCCAGCCCAGUCCCAACGUCAAGGCCAGCCCCGCUAUCCCAUUGCCUGGACAAAGAGACCUUGGCUGCAACUGCUGUGUCCACCUGCAGAGGCCAACGGGCGUGAACCCUCUCUCUGGCUCUGUGGCGUGAAUACUGAUAUGAGGAAGAGGAUGAUCAGGACCGUUCACCCUGAGAGAAGCACUGCAGAACCAUGGCAUCUGAAAACAGCUGCGUGAAGCACCCAACACCAAUUAAGCAAAUGGGCAUUAAUUAAUCGCUAUGGGCAACAGGACACAGAAGGAGUGGAGCAGACUGGAUGGA